CAAAGGGAUUGCGCACCCUCGCGAUUCUUCUCUAGCUGAGAAGGAAAGAGGGGGGUUUCGUGCGUGCGUCCAGACACGUGGCCGCCUCUUUUUCUUUCCCCACACGGUGAGAGCUGUCCCUUCCUCUCACACCUCACCACACCACACACACACACACACACACACACACAGGCGCGCACACUGAGACUGCAUCCACGGCCACAACGGAACACCUCACCGAAAGGAACGCUUUCACUACCCUCUUUGGCCAGCUACGAGAAUGCUGCGCUUUACUCAUGUUAUCCGGAAGAACCCGGUGGUGUUCAAGCAGGGACAGGGGAUGUUCUCGCACCAGCUAAAGCGAAUACUGAACAAGAAGUCGCUGCACAAGUACAACUGGGAUCCGCUCCCGAUGUACGACCCUCGCAAGCUUGUGCACGCCAACCGCUACGUGGACCACGACACCUACGAGGAGAAGUACGAUCCGCACUGGGAGCACAACGCCCAUCUCGUACCAGAUCAGCAGUUCUACAACAUCCCUGUCCCAAAGGAGUACAAGGACGCGUACUGGUGGCGUGACUUGCAGGCCCGCCGCGUUCAGUGCCCGACCGAGUGGGUGCACUUCCGCAUGCAUACCAAGGAUAAGCUCAAGUAUGACUUCCAGGAUCUUGCCUUCCGCAAGAAGUUCGAGUAUUCCUAUGAGGAUGUGGUUGCAAAUGCCAAGGACAUGCGCAGCUGAAACCCUCAAGAGUGAAGCUCGCUGGUUCUUGUGUCUCUGAUGUUCACAUUGCAAACAGCCGAGCCCUCCAGUGCAGUUUCUGCGUUUCUACUUCUCAUCGGUCAUGCGCACGGGAGGAAGGGGUCGAGCAGAGCAGCCCGUGGUAUGAGUGUGAGUGUGUGAGAGGCAGCGUGGUUUCCGUUUUUCUUUGUCGUCUGUUGCUAGUGCUUCGACGCCCCUCGGUGCUGCGGCUGCCGCCUCCUUAGCUGCUGCGGUUGCUGCGGUCGGCUGUGAGAGGCCUGCACUUGGCCGCCAUACUGGCUGGCUCACUUAGUUGGUUGACGUUUGGUGGUGGGAGGGGGGGUUAUGGCUGUUUAGGUGGGGAAUCGUUGAAGGGGUGGGGAGCCCUGCUUGCUGAGCGUAUGUCUUCUACCACCUCACCCUUGCCCGCAAAUGGUUGCUCAUGCCAGCUAAGUCGCUCACACAGACAAGAUCACUCACACUCAAGGAUGCCACAGGGUCAACAGGAAGGAGGGGGUGCGUCAGUGGUGGAGUGAAGGGUGAGGCCCUCCAGGGGGGGGCGCCCGUCAGGAAGAGUAAAGGAAAAUGACGGUGGAGCUCCUCCUCACUGCAUUUGCGUACAUCACUGCGCAUGCGGCUGACGUGCUCCUUUUAAAUAUAGUUCUCUCCCUGCUGCACCGACACCUCGUCACGCUUACGCUGGCGACGCGGGGCAGCUGGCAUCGAAGAGGGGUGCGGAUGCUGACGUCUUUCAUUCAUCGCGGGGUCAUGUCUGCCACGAUGCCCCCCUCCAUACUCGUGGUUGUGCGUGCUCUGCUCGUGGCCCCACGUUUCCGCGUCUCUGUCCACCUCUAUCUUCCUAACCCGUCGCAUCACCCCGAAG
rnacentral:misc_RNA from 1 species